rnacentral:lncRNA from 1 species
CUGUGUCUCUGCCUCUGUGUGUGUGUGUGUGUGUCUCAUGAAUAAAUAAAUAAAAUCUUUUUAAAAGAUGCCAAAUGUGCAGAUCUGUGAUGUAGAUGGUACAUAGGGAAGUGAGGGAAACACAAAUGAAUACAUGAGAAUACUUGUUAGAAUUCAAGAAUUUAAAGGAUGAAUCAAGGCAGGUAGUCCUCCAUUAACUUCACAAGUUUUACUCUUCUCCAAGUUGGAUCAGCAUAAGAAAUUCCAGUUAGCUGGUGUGAUUAAUGACUAAGGUGUCUGUCUGUGACUUGGUUUGUUUAUUUGUUUGUUUGAGGACUGUGGUGGAAUUGCAAACCACUACUCCCCAAAAUAUAUAUUUGAGGUAGCCUUAAAUAAUUAAGAGUCUUUGGUGAUUACAAAUGCUUUAUUCUCAACAGCAGCUAUACUUUUUUCUUUAGCUAAAUUAUCAUAGAGAUUUUAUUCUUUGGUCUACAUUGUGCUAUAAUUUAAACAAACUGGAAUAUCUACAUUCGAGAGGACUCAGUAGGCCUGGCUUAUCCUUUCCAUUUAAAACUCCCUGGCUCCACUUCAGGCUCUCAAGCUACCUUUGAAGAGAGAUUUAUGUGUUUUAAGUACAAUUCAAGCACACUGACACCUUGAGAGGAGAUUGUAAACAAUGAGACUAGAUAGGGGUAAUUCAAGUAUUUCACUCUGACAACAGCCAAAAAAUUCUCAUGUGUCGCCUAAAAGACUCGACAUUAGUAAUAAACAUUAUUAGGUGCACAGCCCCAAGCCCAUUUCAAAGGCUAUCAAUGUGCAUGCUCUGUUUAAAGAGUUUGUAUGUUUCAUUAAGUAUGUCUUAGCCUGUCAUUAAAACAUUCUGAAAUCAUACCAAUGGCAUGGUUCAAAUUCUGUUUUUAUAUUUGAGAAGUAAAUUCUAAAAUACCCAGGUUAGCUGGCAAUGCAACUUCUUAAAAUAGAUAGGUGUUAAAACUCAUUUAUAAUCUUGUAAAGAUAUUUUCCUUUCACUUAAUUAGAAAUAGUGCUUUUAUCAGAUUACUUUCACCAAAACUGAUGGAAAUACUUUGGCACUAAAUAAAGAAAACAUAAAACCUGUCUUCAACAUAUUUAAAUAUCUCUUUCAGAGGACUUCUGACAGAAGUUAAGAUCUUUGGUUUACUCUACAACUUUUUGGUGACUCCCUUUUCAUUUUCUUUUAUUUUUUUAAGAUUUAUGUAUUCAUUUUAGAGAGAGUGAGAGAGCACUUGAGUGGAGAGAGAGGCAGAGGGAGAGAAUCUUCAAGCAGACUUCCUGCUGAGCAUCCAGCCAACCUGAGAUCCUGACACUGAGAUCAUGACCUGAGCUGAAAUCAAGAGUCGGAGGCUUAACCAGCUGAGCCACUCAAGAGACCUAAAGUUACUCCC